UGUCCCCCGAAAAUGUUCAUUUUAAUUGUAGAAACUGAUGCCCCGGGAAAAAGGCUACAACCCCUGCUUUUUAUGCCUACCAAGUUCCUCAGGCAGCCUCACUAGCUACAGCUAAGCAGAGGCUGCACACUGCACUGGACUGCUGGUCUGAAGGUGCAGGAGACAGACUACACUGGAAGAGGGGAGGCCGGCGGGUUACUUUGGGAAUACCAAGCACCUUUUCCUCUCCCCUGUUGCCUAACAUGCUGGAGAACGGGGAUCGAGGAUGGACCUGUGGUUGGCCGCUGUAAACCCGCAGUCACCACAACCUGAGAGGUUGGCACAGCGAUGACUUUAGGUGGGGCUGGGGGAGCCAUAGAAACUGCCACCUUUUUGCUACUCUUCUUUGGUGAAUCUGUGGCUUCCCCUUGCCUGUGUUUUCCUCCAUCAUCCUCCCACUGCAUCAAAUGGGUGAAGGUAGGGCUUGAGUUAAGAUGACUGACAUAGUGGGCUGUCAUUUCAAAUGAGCACUAAGUAAAUUACUCUCCCUCCA